rnacentral:rRNA from 1 species
UACGUAGGUGGCAAGCGUUGUCCGGAAUUAUUGGGCGUAAAGCGCGCGCAGGCGGUUUCUUAAGUCUGAUGUGAAAGCCCCCGGCUCAACCGGGGAGGGUCAUUGGAAACUGGGAAACUUGAGUGCAGAAGAGAAGAGCGGAAUUCCACGUGUAGCGGUGAAAUGCGUAGAGAUGUGGAGGAACACCAGUGGCGAAGGCGGCUCUUUGGUCUGUAACUGACGCUGAGGCGCGAAAGCGUGGGGAGCAAACAGG